AUGAAUAUCCCGAGUCGUGAGUAAGGUUGGAAUUUGGAAAUGUAUCCCACUCGCACAGACACAGGACAAGAGUGAAGUACGAUGAGUGUGGCUAACUUAUUCUUGUCCGAACACACUAACAAACUCGGCUUCCAUUUCCACUUUUACCCAACGCGCCGCCUUGCUCUUUAACCUCCAAAACCUCUCCAACCCUCGUUUCUCUUCACUUUCUCUCGCGUUUUUCUUGAAUGGGCACGUCAGUCAUGUUUCCCAUUCUCACAAUCCAUUCUCUCCAAUUAUUCUUCAUUUUGUUAUGCGUCGGAUCCUCCAAUCGGUCGUUUUUCUUUGUUUGAGAAUUAUGAUCUGUGCUGCGGAUUGUUUUAUCCAUAUAAUAGAAAUAUGCUAACUUUGAGUUAUGGCUUCCUUCAAUUUGUUCAUUAUGUGUUUAAUUAUUUAAUUUAUUAUUGUUAUUUUAUUUGCCAGUGUGCUCUUCCCCCCGCCCUCUUUAGAAUUCCUUUUGAGAUGGGUUGGUUUAGCUUAAUUUGUAUUUAGAAUAAAAAUAAAUGGCAGUUUUAGGUUUAAAAGUUAGUAAAAACAAAACCUGCAUUGAUAUGUGAUUACAUUGAGAUGUCACAAUGGGUGAUUUACAUUGAGACUGAGGUUGUGAGGUUCCAAUUUGUAGUCUUGCAUUGUGCCUUUAAAAAUUUUGACUUAGAUGAAGUAGUUAAAAAUUGAAUGUUUUUCCUAAAGUAUGGCAAAGCAAUUGUACUUUUUUUCUCUUAAAGAAAAUGGGACAGUUGAUGUUAAUGCUUAUGUGAAUUUUGUUUGAAUGCUAGAUAUCGAGGAGGACAUUCGUUCUUUACAGCUUGAUUCUGUGGAAGAGACUAAUGGACCUGUAAAGCUAGAGGAUGUGAAGCCAGGAGUAGUUGAUAAAUCUGAACAUAUGGAUGAAGGUUGGUAGUAAAAAAGUGGUUGAUUCCCAUUAUUUUUGCAGGAGUAUGCAUUUCCAAGGAAGAAUACUUGAAGUCAAAACAGAAAGUAGAAGAAAAGUCAAAGGAGAAGGAAAUAGAGUGGGGCAAGGGCUUGGCUCAGAAGAGGGAAGCUGAGGCUCAGCUGAAGGAACUUGAAAUUGAGAAGCACAAGCUUUUGCACGCAACAGUAGGUUUUUUGAUCGAGAAGGAAAGCUUCGAGCUAUUUAUGUUGGUGGCCGGUGUCAUCAUUUGUUCUCAACUUUUGGUGCUGAUGGCAUUCCUUCCUGUGGUUUUGGAUUUGGUGAUGCAAUUGUAGUCUUUGUGCAAUGGGGGUAUGCUACUACGAAGAAGGUGAAUUUUUUCCUUAUAUACUGAAGAGGCGUGGCAGUUCCUGACUUCCUGGAAGGUGACGUGUGUGGCGCUUGUUUUCUGAGACCCAGGCAAAGGCUGCUCAAUGUGCAGAAGCUGUGAAAAUGAUGCUGUUAGCUACUCUGUGGCACCUAUGAAGAAAUCUGAGUUAUUCACUCAAUGGGAAGCUUGCAAUCGAGGAGUUCCCAGCGAUAGCAGCGGCCAAGGUUUUGAAAAUCUUAAGAAAAACGAGACAAUUGCUUCAUGUAAUUCAGCUCUACUAUACAGAUGCUAAGCAUAGUGAAUCAUUAUGGACAUGCAUAUGUGAUCCCAAUGGAUUCUCUAAACUGGCGGUAGGUGGCCAUAACUCUAGUUGCUUUAAUCCUGCAACUGCCUGAGAGGUAUCUUCCUUUUUCCUUUUUGCUUCCAUCUUGAAAGUUCAUUAAUGCUGCUAAAUCAAUUAUUACUGAGCUUCUGCUAAUAUAUAUAGAUAGAUUAUAGAUUAUAUAUAGAUAGAUUAGAUGCUUCUAUUAAUCUAUCUACUGUUUGAUUUGAGAGCUACGAGUAUAUCUAUUGUUUUGAAACUUGUUCUUCACCUAAUAUAUAGGGGGUUCACUAGGUUACAGAGUUCAAUGUAUCUAUACAAACUAGAAUUCAUGUAGUUUCAUGUAGUUCACAUGGAAGGAGAUCUACGUUCUCCUAGCAUUGUUAAUUGUUGCUCAGCUAUGAAGCAGGGAUUCAGAUUGAUAGGAUUCAACCAAUCAGUUUCAUAGGUUUGCGCUGCUUUCUACUGUUAGCUUCUUUCUCCUGGCAUGGUCAGAGAAGUGGGUGAAGUCAAAGAGAGUGGAAGUUACUUCAGGAAAACGCCGCAGCUCGAUUCUAACUCACUUCGCGCAUUCACUCUCCGUACGAGGAGCAUGGGCAACCCGACGCGAUGACGAAGCUGGUAGAGUUUCCAAGUGUGGAAGUGAAGGAGAAUGAUGUCUGUGUAAAGAUGUUGUGUGCACCCAUAAACCCUUCGGACAUUAACAUAAUACAAGGCUUGUAUUCCGUCAAGCCAGAGCCACCCACGGUGUAUGAAGGUGUUGGAGAGGUUUACUCCAUCAGCUCCACCGUCAUUUCUCUCUCUCCCGGUGACUGGGUUUAGGGUUCUCCACCCUCCUAUGGUUGAGACCAGAGUGCAGAACUCUUGAGGAAGUUAAAGAAGUAUUACAUUAUAUUUUCCAAACGAACACCUCUUUGACCCAGAUAAUGUUAAAGAAGUUGAAGUAUUACAUAUGGUUUUACCUCUACCAAAUGGGGAUGUGGAUAUAUCAAUGCUGAAUGAAGCUGUGCAGAUACUCGAUGGAAAAUUUGAGACUGAGUCACAAGGAUCACCCAUGCAAAAUUUGACCUUUAUGUGUUGAGUAAGACUCAGACUCAAACAUGG